CAGUAGCCGCGGGAAUACGAAGGGUGCAAGCGUUACUCGGAAUUACUGGGCGUAAAGCGUGCGUAGGUGGUGGUUUAAGUCCGUUGUGAAAGCCCUGGGCUCAACCUGGGAAUUGCAGUGGAUACUGGGUCACUAGAGUGUGGUAGAGGAUAGUGGAAUUUCCGGUGUAGCAGUGAAAUGCGUAGAGAUCGGAAGGAACAUCUGUGGCGAAGGCGACUAUCUGGGCCAACACUGACACUGAGGCACGAAAGCGUGGGGAGCAAACAGGAUUAGAGACCCCUGUAGUCCCUGUCUCUUAUAC
rnacentral:rRNA from 1 species